GGAAGUAAAAGCCGUAACAAGGUUUCCGUAGGUGAACCUGCGGAAGGAUCAUUAUUGUAUAACCGAGGUGCGAGGGCUGUCGCUGACCCGAAAGGUCGUGCACGCCCGAGUGCCCUCACACACAUCCAUCUCACCCCUAUGUGCACCACCGCGUGGGUCCCCCUUUGGCUUGUUCGGAGGGGGGCUUACGUUUUCACACAAACUUUGUAUGCAGUGUAGAAUGUAUUUUUUGUUUUUGCGAUCACGCAAUCAAUACAACUUUCAACAACGGAUCUCUCGGCUCUC
rnacentral:misc_RNA from 1 species